rnacentral:rRNA from 1 species
ACGGGUGAGUAACGCGUGGGAAUCUACCCAUCUCUACGGAACAACUCCGGGAAACUGGAGCUAAUACCGUAUACGUCCUUCGGGAGAAAGAUUUAUCGGAGAUGGAUGAGCCCGCGUUGGAUUAGCUAGUUGGUGGGGUAAUGGCCUACCAAGGCGACGAUCCAUAGCUGGUCUGAGAGGAUGAUCAGCCACAUUGGGACUGAGACACGGCCCAAACUCCUACGGGAGGCACCAGUGGGGAAUAUUGGACAAUGGGCGAAAGCCUGAUCCAGCCAUGCCGCGUGAGUGAUGAAGGCCCUAGGGUUGUAAAGCUCUUUCAACGGUGAAGAUUAUGACGGUCACCGUAGAAGAAGCCCCGGCUAACUUCGUGCCAGCAGCCGCGGUAAUACGAAGGGGGCUAGCGUUGUUCGGAAUUACUGGGCGUAAAGCGCACGUAGGCCGAUUGUUAAGUUAGGGGUGAAAUCCCAGGGCUCAACCCUGGAACUGCCUUUAAUACUGGCAAUCUCGAGUCCGAGAGAGGUGAGUGGAAUUCCGAGUGUACAGGUGAAAUUCGUAGA